GACGUAGGGGGCAAGCGUUGUCCGGAUUUAUUGGGCGUAAAGAGCGUGUAGGCGGCCAGGUAGGUCCGUUGUGAAAACUCGAGGCUCAACCUCGAGACGCCGAUGGAAACCAUCUGGCUAGAGUCCGGAAGAGGAGAGUGGAAUUCCCGGUGUAGCGGUGAAAUGCGCAGAUAUCGGGAAGAACACCCGUGGCUAAGGCGGCUCUCUAGUACGGUACUGACGCUGAGACGCGAAAGCGUGGGGAGCGAACAGG
rnacentral:rRNA from 1 species